CAGCAGCCGCGGUAAUACAGAGGGUGCGAGCGUUAAUCGGAUUUACUGGGCGUAAAGCGUGCGUAGGUGGUUCGCCAAGUUGGAUGUGAAACCCCCGGGCUCAACCUGGGAACUGCAUCCAAAACUGGCGAGCUAGAGUAUGGUAGAGGGUGGUGGAAUUUCCUGUGUAGCGGUGAAAUGCGUAGAUAUAGGAAGGAACAUCAGUGGCGAAGGCGACCACCUGGACUGAUACUGACACUGAGGUGCGAAAGCGUGGGGAGCAAACAGGAUUAGAUACCCCAGUAGUCCCUGUCUCUUAUAC
rnacentral:rRNA from 1 species